rnacentral:rRNA from 1 species
GAGUUUGAUCCUGGCUCAGAUUGAACGCUGGCGGCAUGCCUUACACAUGCAAGUCGAACGGCUAGCACGGGAGCUUGCUCCUGGUGGCGAGUGGCGAACGGGUGAGUAAUGCAUCGGGAACGUAUCCUGGAGUGGGGGAUAACGUAGCGAAAGUUACGCGUAAGUACCGCGUAUUCUGUGAGCAGGAAGCGGGGACCUUCGGGCCUCGCGCUCUUGGA